rnacentral:tRNA from 1 species
GGCUUCUUGGUCCAGUGGUCAGGACGGCACCGUGCAGACUGAGGUUCAAAUCCUUGAGAGGCCA